rnacentral:rRNA from 1 species
AUUGAACGCUGGCGGCAUGCCUUACACAUGCAAGUCGAACGGUAACAGGUCUUCGGAUGCUGACGAGUGGCGAACGGGUGAGUAAUACAUCGGAACGUGCCUAGUAGUGGGGGAUAACUACUCGAAAGAGUGGCUAAUACCGCAUGAGAUCUACGGAUGAAAGCAGGGGAUCGCAAGACCUUGUGCUAGUAGAGCGGCCGAUGGCAGAUUAGGUAGUUGGUGGGAUAAAAGCUUACCAAGCCGACGAUCUGUAGCUGGUCUGAGAGGACGAUCAGCCACACUGGGACUGAGAAACGGCCCAGACUCCUACGGGUGGCAGCAGUGGGGAAUUUUGGACAAUGGGCGCAAGCCUGAUCCAGCAAUGCCGCGUGCAGGAUGAAGGCCUUCGGGUUGUAAACUGCUUUUGUACGGAACGAAAAGCCCCGGGUUAAUACCCUGGGGUCAUGACGGUACCGUAAGAAUAAGCACCGGCUAACUACGUGCCAGCCGCCGCCGUAA